UUGUUGGUGGGGUAAAGGCCUACCAAGGCGACGACGGGUAGCCGGCCUGAGAGGGCGACCGGCCACACUGGGACUGAGACACGGCCCAGACUCCUACGGGAGGCAGCAGUGGGGAAUAUUGCGCAAUGGGCGAAAGCCUGACGCAGCGACGCCGCGUGGGGGAUGAAGGCCUUCGGGUUGUAAACCCCUUUCAGCAGGGACGAAGCGAAAGUGACGGUACCUGCAGAAGAAGCGCCGGCUAACUACGUGCCAGCAGCCGCGGUAACACGUAGGGCGCAAGCGUUGUCCGGAAUUAUUGGGCGUAAAGAGCUCGUAGGCGGUCUGUUGCGUCCGCUGUGAAAACUCGGGGCUUAACCCCGAGCCUGCAGUGGAUACGGGCAGACUAGAGGUAGGUAGGGGAGAAUGGAAUUCCCGGUGUAGCGGUGAAAUGCGCAGAUAUCGGGAGGAACACCGGUGGCGAAGGCGGUUCUCUGGGCCUUACCUGACGCUGAGGAGCGAAAGCGUGGGGAGCGAACAGGAUUAGAUACCCUGGUAGUCCACGCCGUAAACGUUGGGCGCUAGGUGU
rnacentral:rRNA from 1 species